GUGCUUGGGCAGCACACAUACUAAAAUUGGAACAAUACAGAGAAAGGUUGGCAUGGGCCCUGCACAGGGAUGACACAAAUUCGUGAAGUGUUCAUUAUCUUC